rnacentral:snRNA from 1 species
AGCUUUGCGCAGUGGCAGUAUCGUAGCCAAUGAGGUUUAUCCGAGGCACGAUUAUUGCUAAUUGAAAAGAGCUUUUUAUAUAUAUAUGUAGGAGAGUCACAAGUUUCCUUAGUGCUAUCAAGAAAGAAGGAAAUUUAUCUUAUUAAUUUUCUAUA